rnacentral:rRNA from 1 species
UGGUGGAGUGAUUUGUCUACUUAAUUGUGAUAACGAACGAGACCUUAACCUGCUAAAUAGUCGCACGAAUCUCUUGAUUCGUGAUAGACUUCUUAGAGGGACUUUGCGUGUCUAACGCAAGGAAGUUUGAGGCAAUAACA